rnacentral:tRNA from 1 species
AGAAAAGUGGCUGAGUGGUUUAUAGCGAAGAUUUGCUAAACCUGUACCGUGGGUUCGAAUCCCACCUUUUCUA